GGGUAAUUUAUUAAACAGUUUUUAUGGUAUAAUUUGAAUUUUUUUUUUUUAUAUUUUCUUAUUUUCGUAAAAAAAAAAUUAAUAUGAAAUGUUUAAAUAUAAUUAUAUUUUGUUCUUUAUGGAAUAAAUUAUUCAAAAUUUUAUACGCUUAAAUAUAAUAUGUUAAGACUUAAUAAAUAUAUAUAUAUAUAUAUCAAUAUAUGUUUUGUAUAAAAAUUACAUGUUCAGCUUAAAAAAUUAAAGCGAUGUUUUUGUAAUAGUUAUAAUUCUUUUUUUUUUUUUUUUUUGAUGUCCUCUUUAAGUACACAACUGAUUUUAUUUAUAGUUUUAAAGACCAAGAAUAAUUUACACCUGAGUAAAAAGAAAUAACCCUGAAUAUAUUAAAAUGUCCUACUUUUAUAUAUAUUUAAAAUAUAUAUAAUAUAACGCUGAAUUAUUAAAAGAGAAAAUAAAGAAACUAAAUGAAAAUAAAUUAAAAUAAAAUAAAAUAAAAGAUGAAAAAUGUAAAUAAGAGAAAAGAAAAGGGGGAAUGUUUUAAAAUUACAUAUAAUCAACUAUUAAAAUAUAUAUAUAUAUAUAUAUAUAUAUAUAUGCAUAUAUAUAUGAAUGAGGCCCCUUUCAUUUCACUAAAUAUUUAUAUAUAUUUUUGUUUUCCAUAUUAAAUAUAUAAUAAAUAAAAUAAAUUCUUUUAUAAUCUUAAUUUUCUUACUAAACUUUUUAUACGUAAUAUAAAUUACAACUAAGGUCUAUAUUAUUAUGAAUUGUUAUUCAUAUAUAUAUAUAUAUAUAUAUAUAUAUAUAUAUAUAUAUAUAUAUAUAUAUGUAUGCAUGUAUGUAUGUAUAUAUGUAUGUAUGUAUAUAUGUAUGUAUGUAUCUAUGUAUGUAUGUAUCUAUGUAUGUAUGUAUCUAUGUAUGUAUGUAUCUAUGUAUGUAUGUAUAUAUGUAUGUAUUUAUUACUUUAAAAGGGUUAUAUUUUAUGAUUUUGACUUUAUUUUAAUAUAUAUAUAUAUAAUAUGUAUUUACAAAUAUAGAUAGAAAAUAUUAGACACAUAAACUUAUGUAUAUAUAUACAGGUUUAUAUAUAAUAAGAUUAAAAUAUUCUAGUAUAUGUAUAUUUAUAUAUAAGUCUAUAUGAGUAAACAUAUCAACCUAUAUAUAUUAAAAAAAAUAUAUACUAAUAUUUAUCUUUAUAUAUAUGAACAUAAAUAUAUGCAAAUAUUUAUAUACUUAAGUAUAUAUAUAUAUAUAUAUACAAAAAUAUAUAUAAUCACAUAUAUAUACAUAUAACCAUAAACAUUAAAAAAUAUUUAUGUACUUGGAUGUGUAUAUAUGAAAAUAUACAAAUAAAUAUAUAUAAACAAAAAUUAACAUAGACAUAAUAACAAAUAAAUAUAUAUAAAUAAAUAUUAAAAUAUACAUAAUAACAAAUAAAUAUUAAUAUAUAUAUAUAAAAACAAAUAAAUAUAUUUAUAUAAAUGCAUAUAUAUAUAUAUAUGUGUGUACGUACACGCUUAUCAAAUAAAUAUGUCAUAUAUACAUGAUAUUAUAAACAUUAAUAUAUAAAUUCAAAAAAAAUAUAUAUAUAUAUAUAUAUCAUAUAUUUAUCAUUUAUAUGUAUAAAUUUAUAUACGUAAAAUGUUUUUUAUAUAUUUUUUCUUUUUUUUAUGUUUUUUUUUUUUAUUAACAAAUAAUUAGAUAUAAAAGAAAUUUUAGUUACAUUCAAUUAAAAGAAGAAAAUAAUAAUAAUAUUAAUUGAUUUUAUUUAGUACUAUAUAUAGUUUAUCUGUUAGAAUAAAUAUAUUUAAAACAUAUAAUAAAUGAAAAAUUUAAAAAAAUAUAUAUAUAUUUGUUAUAAAAAAUUAUAAUAAACUAAACAAAACGUGCGUGCAUAUGUAAUAUACAUUAUUUUAUUAAAGAUGUAAUUUAAUAUCAAAAUUAAUAAUAUAGUUUAUUAUCCAGUUAAUGUUUUAAGAAUAUGGUAACUUAAAGAAUUUACUAUUUUAAGAAUUAUAUGAUUUAAGAAUAUUCGAGCGAUCGAAUUAUCGAAAUAAUGAACCAAAUCAAAAAAAAAAAAAAAAAAAAAAAAAAACUAAAUACAAAAUACAAAAUACAAAAUACAAAAUAUAUAUUAAAAGGGAUUUACAUAAGAAAAAGAAAUGAUAUGUGUGUCAUAAUGGUGUAGUUAUCAAAAUAAUUUUUUUUUUUUGGUUAUAUUAAUGUUAUUAUUUAUAAAUAAUUAUUUUUUUUUUUUUUUUAUACAUGCCCAUUUCGUGUCUUUUUUUUAGAAAUAUAUCUUUUGUAAUAUUUGUUAUUUAUAUAUAAUUUACUUAAUGUGUUUAUUAUACAAUAGUUUUGUUAGUUGCAACUAAUUCUAGAAGACAUAACAUGAACAUAUUAUAAAUUUUAUAUAAUCAACAUGGAUUAUUUAUUACUUGAAUGUGUCCUUAAAUUAUGGAUGAUCCUAAUAUUAUAUAACUUAAAUUAAUCACUUAAGACGUUUAAAUUUUAUAUACAUUAUUCAAAAUAAUAUGACGUAUCCAUAUUUUCUUUAGGAAUAUAUAUAUAUAUAUAAGAACCCUUCUUAUAUUAUAUAAUAAUGUAAUUUCUUGUUAAAACAGAAAAGGAAAUAAAUGUACAUAUAUUUAAGUAAGAAAAAAAAAGUAUAUAUAUAUAUAUUAUAUAUAUAUAUAUAUAUAAUUUAAGAAUCUGUAAUUUAUUAUGUUAGUUUAUUCUGUAAUUUUUUAUAUGUAACACAUAUAUGUCUUUGACUUAGCUAUAUAUAUAUAUUAGAAAUUAUUUUGUUUAGUAUAAUACUAAUUAAUAAAUAUAAAAUAUUAUAAUAAAAUGUUAGGCUAUAGUUGUAUUAUCUUUAUAUCAAUGUCAUAUUUCCCUAUGAUUAUCCCAAUAAAAUUCAAAUAACUUAUAUGUUGUAAAAUAUAGUAUCUUAGAACAUAUAACAUUUAAGAAUAAAAAAACAAAAUUAACAAAUUUAAAUACUUAUUUAUUUAUAGUUUUUUAUGUUAUUAUAUGUUGUAAAACAUCAGUAUUCUUAACGAAUUAAUAGACACAUCUAAGUUCAUUUAAGAAGAGAUAUAUUUUUAGUUACUUUAUAAUUAUUCAUUAUAUUUUUUUCUUUUUUUUUUUUUUUUUUUUACUUAAUACAUAUAAUUGCAUUUUAUUUAAAAAUAUAACAACAUUUAAGAAUUUUGAUUUAUAUAAGAAAUAUUUUGCCUUACACAGUUUCUCUUUAUCUUAAUUUUUAUUUUCUUUCAUUCCUUAUUUAUUAUUUAUUCUUUAUAUAUAUUAUAUAUUAUUCCAUUCCCUAUUUAAUAUUACAUUUAUUUAAAAAUAUAAGUGGAA